CAUUUAGGAACACUUCACAGUAAGUGUCUAGGAACAUGUGGAGGAGAGCCUGUUUAUUGAAAAGCAAAUUGUAGAGGAAGAUGCAGAAAAGGUUAGCCAAAACUGGAACUGAAACAGCUCAUCAAAGGGAAAAGGCUACACAUGUGGCUUGUCUGCAUCCCCUUGGCUGAAAGGGGAACAAAGGGGAGAUAAAAUGGUGGAGCUCAGACAUGAAGCUGUUUAUCCUGGGAUAUUAAACUGGCUUGUGGAAGACUGCCAGCCAUUUGCAGAGACAAGUACAACAUGCCAAGGCAAGGCACCAGGGAGAAGAAUUAGCAAUGAGAUUGGCCAAAGAUACAUACAAGAAGAGAGGCCUUGGAGGGAGUUCUUCAUCUGAGAAGAGAUCAAGAAACUUCCUGAGAUUGAUUUUCAUAUUUAUUGACUCCGAUGUGGCAAAUUUAGAGAUUGUGAGAGCUCAGAAUCUCUGAAACACGUUAAUGAAACUCUAGAUUUAUUUGAUGCUUUAUGGAAUUGAAGAUGGAUUGCCUAAUUAUUUAUCAGUGCCUAAUUAAUGUAGUGUAAUUAAUUCUUGUUAUCUACAUAUAGGUAGGUCUAUCUCCAAAAUCACUAAGUUAUACGGUGGCACAAUGGGCACAGGCUGAACUGCUGUUCUGAAGGUCAGCAGUUCAAAUCUGCAAGAUGGAGUGAGCACCCAUCUGUCAGCUCCAGCUUUCCGUGGAGAACCAUGAGAGAAGGAUGGUAAAACAUCCAGGUGUCUCCUAGGCAACGUCCUUGCAGACGGCCAAUUUUCUCACACCAGAAGCCAUUUGCAGUUUCUCAGCCUGAUAUAUAAAUCCCUUACACUAAUUACGGUUUCCUAUCUAGGCAUCUUGUCUGCUGUCUACUCACAGUUCCUCUAGCUAAUCAUCCUUGCUUUAUGUAAAUGUGGAUAUCCCAUAUUUAACUGUAGCAUGAAGGGAGGAACCAGAAAUCUGACCUAGGAAUUUGCUGAUGGGCUUUG